CUCAUACAGGCUUAGCAAAAGUAAUUAUAACUGUUUUUUGAAACAUAUUUUUUUAAUGACCCAAAGGCGCAUCAUUCUAACUAUCCUUUUUUUUCCUUUCUGGCAGAUGACAUUUGAUCCAGAAAUCUUCUUCAACGUUUUACUGCCACCAAUUAUAUUUCAUGCAGGAUAUAGUCUAAAGAAGAGACACUUUUUUCAAAACUUAGGAUCUAUUUUAACAUAUGCCUUCUUGGGAACUGCCAUCUCCUGCAUCGUCAUAGGGUAAGUGACAUUCGGAGCUCAAGUUGCAGGUGGCUAUGGGGUCUGUGAUCUGUGUGAGGGAUCUAACACUUCUGGGAUUCUUGCUGGCUGGGAAAAUUGUCUUUUUUUUCUUAGUAUGUCACAUAUUUGUACAUUUUUUUCCUGGAUUAAUUCUGAGGCUUCUGACAAACACAAGACUUCAAAGCAAACUAGAGGAUUGCUGGAUUUUCUCUGUGAAUUCUGGACUUCUGAUUUAGGGAAUGUGGAUCACUUGCCUUAAGUUGUGUGAAGUGCAUUGCAUUCUUCUUUUAGUUUGAAUAAUGCUGAUAUGUUCACUGCAUUCUUUUUUGUUUUCUAUUGAGGGACCUUACCUGUAUUUGGCAGGAUUGCACUAACUAUAUGCCAAGGGUUUUCUUUCUAAAAGAAAGUUUACAAGACAGCAGUCUGAAACAGAUGUGUGCAAAUACCAACAGAGUUGCUUAAUACUGGGAUAGCUUUUCAGUUAACACCCUGUAGAACGCAGACUCUUUUUCAUUAUAUUUUCUUGAUUAUGCUACUGAGCCCUAAGUCACACUUUAUACACUCUGGCUUGCAGCUCAUCAUAAAGCAAAAUGUGGUCCCAAAUGGUGAAGGCAAUCCAGCCUCUGAUAAUCCCAUCCAAUACAUUAAAGCUCCACUGCAG